CGAACGAAUGAAGCGAUGGGGCAUUAUCUUUCGUGUGCGAUUGACGAUGGAAAGCAAUCUGACAGUGAAUAAUGGAAUGGGGCGCGGGGCAUUGUGAAGUGCCAACUGCAUAUUCAAUCAUGGAUUGGAGAUACAGUGACGCUGGUUGGUGGAUGGUGAUAAAUAAAAAAUGAGGUUGAGGAGAAAAAAAUAAAUAUUGUUGAGAGAAGUCGAUUCGUACGAUUUCAACGCGUUUAGUUGGAGAAAGGAAAAGUGGAGAAAUUGAUGCUUUUGUCAGUUGAAAGGAGAUAACUACAGCAAUAAUUGAUUUUUGGGAAUUAGACGUCGAUUCGGUCAUGAAAAAACAAAAGAAAAAAAGUUUGAUCAUCAAUUUGGGAGAAAAAUUAUUUAUAAUUGAAUUUUAAAGUAUAAAAUUGUUAAAUGGAGUGGAUUACUUUGAUUUUUGUUGGAGAGGUCAACUGACUCAUGAUAAAAAAUAGAAAAUGCAUUAGAUUUCUUUAAACUGCACAGUUGGAGAAAGAAAAAGUGAAUGAAUCGAUGCUUUCGUUAGUUGAGAGGAAAUAACUAAAGAAAUGAUUGAUUGUUGGGGCUUAAAAUGUCGCUCGACUCACGAAAAAGUUAAAAAAAAAUUUGAUCGCCUAUUUCGGGAGAAAAUAAUUUAUGAUAAAUUUUUGAAAUAUAAAAUAGUCAAGUGAAGUAGAUUAAUACGAUUUAUGUUGGAAAGGUCAACUGCUUAAUGAUAGAAACCCGUAAACGUACCAUAAAUUCCCGAAAAAAAAAAAAAUUAUUGGGCAGUGCCCAUAGUCAAGGACAGCAGCUUAACGACAGUCUUAAAUUUUAUUAGACCCGAAAGAAAUAAUUCCAAAGUAUAAAAAUUUCCGGUAUUGGUGUCCGCACCGCAGCAGAUGUCUCUACCUGGCCCAAGGGCGGCCGCAGUUAAUGAAUGCCCACUUCUUCAGCCAUCGAAAAAAACCCAACAUUUCCCCUUGUUUCACCUUCCAAAAAAAAACCCUCCCCCUCCCUCACCAACAGCCAUUCCGCGGCAAUUUUCAUUCCCAGAAAUUGGAUUUUUCUUUUACGACCCGGUGUAAAUCUUCCGUCCGCGCACCCUAAGCCACCAACCACCCUCACCCCUCCCUCAUUACCCAUUAAUUCAAAAAUCCCCAUUUCCUGAGAUAAAAAAUCUCGAAAAACGUGUAAUAAAUUGAAAUAAAAAAAAUCGGCUUAUUUUCCCCGGAGUUUCGAUUCAUAACUCUCGAUAGCCGCCGGAUGACAGCAAUGAAUUCCUCAAAAACGCGAAAAUCCAGCGAUAAACAAUUUUUUCAAAAAUCCAACCACCAGAAAGAUUGAUUGAGUCGUUUGUCACAGUUUAGCGCUGGACAUUUGCCGCGAAGCGUCGGAUCUAUCGAUUCCAAUGGCCGGACGUCAUCUAUUCUAAUGACUUCCCGUCGUACUGAAUGAGAUUUUCAUCGUCCCUCCCCCUCCCCAACCCUCCACCGUCCCCCACAACGCGAAUUCUCUCUAAAAUAAAAUCAAAACCGGGGAAAAAAGGGUCCGACGCCCCGACGUAAAAAAAAUCCCUGAAAUGGUGUGAGCGGACGGAAUGUGAUAAGCGCUCGAUUACGAUUUCCAUUCCAGAUAAGAGACAAUGGGGGGAUGUAGCGUUAACAAAGUGUAUUUAUCCCCUCAUGUACCUCUGUGUUAACGACCUCUCACUAUAUCGAAUUACUUGACAAGGAAAUUGGAGCAAAGAAGCCCUCGCCAACUGAAAUGUCACUUUAAACAGUUGACGAGUGUAAAAAUUCAUGGAAUAAAUCGCCACUGGAUCGUAAAUAAUUUCGGUUGAGUAAAAAAAAAAAAUUCUCAAAAAUCCCCGGCGAAUUCCGCAAACACCGAAAUUAAUCUGGAAAUUGAAAUUCCAGACACGCAGAGACAAGGCAAAUUGCCGGAAUGAAUAGAUUUAAACCGUUAUUCCAACAGAUGCUGAACAAAUGGUCGUGAGGGAAAGAGAAGAAUAAAAAAAAAAAAAUCAUAAAGAAUUUCCGAGUAUUGGGUCGCGUGUCUGACAAAAGGGUCAACCGAGUGAUUUUCUCCCGGUCCAAAGAAGCCCUUUUUAUUCACAACUGAAGAAAAAAGAACGGGAAAAGGAAAAAAAAAAAUAAAAUAGACAAAUUUUCCGCUGCAGUUGUUUCAUUACCCGUGCGCUAUUCGUGUUUCGUGUGGACGUACGCAAGAUGGCGCCACAUGCACCGGCGGUGUGAUUGACUCGCGAUUAGAAUUCAAUGAAACACCUAUUUUAGUCCGACAGAAAAUUAAUGAUCAAAUUUAACCCUAAAUAAUCGACUUACCGGCGCCGCAAGACACGUGGAGAGGAUGAAAUCCAGUUUAACACCUUUGUUAUCACUUUUCACUGGAUUUUAUUGAUAAACAAAUAUUCCGGAAAAAAAUCACUUGUUAAUCCGUGGCUGAGUGAAUUCAAAGAUAAUCCGUUAAUGUGUGGGCACCAAUCACGCUCACACUGAUUAAUUUGUCACUGAUUUUAUGUUUCUUUUUCUUUAUUUAAAUUGUUAGGGAACACUUGAACGCACGUGGACGGUUAAACCUCGGGGGUGAUGAGUGGGAGGGAAUUUAAAU